GAGAAAUGGUCGAGUGGUUUAAGGCAGCGGUCUUGAAAACCGCAGUGGCGCAAGUCACCGAGGGUUCGAAUCCCUCUUUCUCC
rnacentral:tRNA from 1 species